CGGGGCGUAGCGCAGGGGUAGCGCACUCCUUUGGGGUGGGAGAGGUCGGUGGUUCAAGUCCACUCGCCCCGA
rnacentral:tRNA from 2 species